rnacentral:rRNA from 1 species
CUGGCUCAGGAUGAACGCUAGCGGCGCGCCUAAUGCAUGCAAGUCGAGCGGGGCACCUUUGGGUGUUCAGCGGCAAACGGGUGAGUAACACGUAGGUAACUUGCCCCGAAGUUUGGGAUAACGCCUGGAAACGGGUGCUAAUACCGGAUGAGCCUGGCAGAGGAGGGAUUUGCCAGGGAAAGCGGGAGCGCUUCGGGAGAGGCCUGCGGCCCAUCAGCUAGUUGGUAGGGUAAAGGCCUACCAAGGCGAUGACGGGUAGGGGGCGUGAGAGCGCCACCCUCCACAAUGGGACUGAGAUACGGCCCAUACUCCUACGGGAGGCAGCAGCAGGGAAUAUUGCGCAAUGGGCGAAAGCCUGACGCAGCGACGCCGCGUGGGUGAAGAAGGCCUUCGGGUUGUAAAACCCUUUUCUGGAGGAAGAGAGAGGACGGUACUCCAGGAAUAAGCGUCGGCUAACUACGUGCCAGCAGCCGCGGUAACACAUAGGACGCGAGC